UAAACAGAAAGGAACCGGACCAGGAGCAAGAAGCUCUCAUGCUAUAGCUCUUGUGGGAAACAAAAUGUAUGCCUUUGGUGGCGAGUUUCAACCACGUGUUCCUGUUGACAACCAGCUCU
rnacentral:sRNA from 1 species